rnacentral:rRNA from 1 species
UGCCAGCAGCCGCGGUAAUACGGAGGGGGUUAGCGUUGUUCGGAAUUACUGGGCGUAAAGCGCACGUAGGCGGAUUAGUAAGUUAGGGGUGAAAUCCCGGGGCUCAACCCCGGAACUGCCUCUAAUACUGCUAGUCUUGAGUUCGAGAGAGGUGAGUGGAAUUCCGAGUGUAGAGGUGAAAUUCGUAGAUAUUCGGAGGAACACCAGUGGCGAAGGCGGCUAACUGGCUCGGUACUGACACUGAAUCGCGAAAGCGUGGGGAGCGGACAGGAUUAGAUA